GACGGGCGGUCCCGGUUCCAGGGCGGGGCUGGAGACAGGGAGACCCGGCUGGGAAGUGCAGGCAAAGCCGGCUGUUACCCUGCACAGCCGUCACCCUCAACUUUCCUUCAGGUAGGCGUGGCCUUCGUGGGUGGUCUCAUCUUGGCACUGCUGCUGGUACCCGUCAACAAAGUGAUUGCCACCCGCAUCAUGGCCAGCAACCAGGAAAUGCUACAGCACAAGGAUGCGCGGGUUAAGCUUGUGACAGAGCUGCUGAGUGGCAUUCGGGUCAUCAAGUUCUGCGGGUGGGAGCAGGCACUGGGAGCCCGAGUAGAGGCCUGCCGGGCUCGAGAGCUGGGGCAACUCCGGGUCAUCAAAUACCUGGAUGCGGCCUGUGUAUACCUGUGGGCUGCCCUACCGGUUGUCAUCUCCAUCGUUAUCUUCAUCACCUAUGUCCUCAUGGGGCACCAGCUCACUGCCACCAAGGUGAGGACCAGGAAGGAAGGGGACCAGCAUCAAGGAGACUUCAGCAAAGUGAAGACAGAGGCUCGGGCCCUCAGUGCUGGCUGAGAAGGAGGGAGGGAUCCCUGACUGCCUCAUCUCUCAACCAAGGGAAAACUGAAGGAACCUUUUUGUGGGGGCCUUGGAUAUAUAACCCUCCCCUCUGUGAAGGAGUUCCUUUCUUUCCUCUCCUCUACCUUUCACUCCAGCUUCUAUUCAGUUCCAGGCUUGGGGUUAGGUCUCUUCAUCCUCGUUCUAAUGGCCUUAGGAAAAAAAUGUAUGAUGCAAUCCUG
rnacentral:sRNA from 1 species